GUACACGCCCUAAACGAUGUCAACUGGUUGUUGGGUGCAUUAGUACUCAGUAACGAAGCUAACGCGUGAAGUUGACCGCCUGGGGAGUACGGCCGCAAGGUUGAAACUCAAAGGAAAUUGACGGGGGACCCGGCCACAAAGCGGUGGGAUGAUGUGGGUUUUAAUUUCGAUGCAACGCGAAAAACCUUAACCUACCUUUGUACAUGUACGGGAAACUCGCCAGAGAUGGCUUGGUGCUCGAAAGAGAACCGUAACACAGGUGCUGCAUGGCUGUCGU
rnacentral:rRNA from 1 species